GCCGGAGUGGUGAAACUGGUAGACGCGCUGGACUCAAAAUCCAGUCUGCCUUGCGCAGGUGGGGGUUCAAUUCCCCCCUCCGGCACCA
rnacentral:tRNA from 1 species